UUUGAUACCCAGUCCGCCCCUGCAUCUGACUGUAUGCCAAAGAAUGAAGCUGAAGUUGAUAUUAUUUGUUUCUUUUCUUAUCUUUCUAGAGUGUCAGGGGGGAAAUUAUUUUAUUUCGGCGCCACGUAAUGUUGUGAAGGGCACCACGUAUGACAUUAGUGUUGACAUCUUGAAACAAAAUAUUGACAAUGUGACAGUAGAAGCAAUACUACAAGAUCGUGGCAGCUACUAUGAAUCUAAGGACCCAAAAACGUUACUAACUGCAAAUGGCAAAUUUUCACCAGGAGUUAGAGGGACUCUGUCAAUGCCAGUAAGUUAUUAUUUUAUUAUUUAUAUUAGCUUUUAAAUCUAUAUCUUAUCUUUCAAUUACAUAAAAAACACAUAAAA
rnacentral:sRNA from 1 species